rnacentral:lncRNA from 1 species
CAAUAUUUUUAAACUAUAAAAACAAACUAGAGUCUUUUUGUUGUAGACACCAAUAAUUUAAACGUGCAUUCAAAAAAUGUUGACAUUUGGCUCAAAGGUAUAGUUUUUAUAGUCUAAUAUAGAUGUCACAUCUUGCAUUUCUUCGUGCUUGUAGUUCUACUUGAACUUCCUACGAAUGGUUAGAAAAGGUGCAUGUUUGCAUGUGUGUCUCUGUGCUGCUGGCUUCCUGUUUAGGCCUCGCUGUGGUUUGCAUGAUUCAAAGGCGUUGAUGACGAAGUGUCAGAGAACAGAAAACUCAGUUUAGGUGGAGCUGAACGGUUACUAUCAACCAAAGCAGACCGGACUGAAAGAUGCGCACUUACCGUGUACUUCCACACUUAUUUGUUGCUCUUCUCUUCUGUGAUUAUGGGAUGUUCUCCACGCCAUCACCAUCUCCUUCAGGGAUGCCCACUAAUGCAGUAUUAAACAUAUCUGACUCUAACACUACUGUGACGACAACUAAAUCUAUAACAGUUGGGAAUGGCUCGAGCACGGUAGAAUCUGGCUCAGGGAGAAAUCAGCCAAAUGAUUUCAAUGGUACGACUGAGAGCAGUAGAGAACAUUCUGUCACUGAAUCUCAAAGGGUUAACGGAAGCACCAGCGCAGCGAUCUCCUCAACAGCACGUCCAGAGAGCACCACACAUGACGUGAAGCACCAUACUACUCCAGAGAAAAAAGAUUCAACAACGGGUACAGGAGGAAUGAAAGCAGAAGAUUCAACAGUAACAGGAGGUGUCAUCAUUUUGGUCCUCUUCUUGCUCAUGAUUGGUUCCCUGCUUGGCCUUUUGUAUUAUUUGAGAAAGAAAACAAGGAGUUACUCAUUUGAUCUGACUCGUGUGGACGUAGCUGCCAAUGAUUACGUUGACACCCCGCUCAGAAACGACCAACAAGGCAUAAGCUAUGAACAAACUAACAAAGAUCUGUCUGUGUGUGCGGACUACGUACAAGAGGACAAGUCAGAGGAGAAGACUGAUCCCAAAGCAAAUGGGUCUUGUGGAGAGAAAACUGAAGAAGCAUCCACUAAUGACAACGAUUAUCAGAAUGUUCCAGAAGAAAAUAGUUUCUCUUCAAACUCGAGCUUGUCUCCACCAAUGAAGGACGAGGAUUUUAACCUGUGCCUGAAUCUGCUCGGAGGCGAAUCUGAUUUAAACGAUUUGACCGAAGCUGAAGCCACCGAUACGACGCAAAACGAAAACAACAAUAAUUUCAGCAAUGCCGGGCAGGGAGCAGCAGAAGAUAUCUUCACUGAAAUCAGUCUAGAUGAGCCAAACUAACAUGCAUAGUGUGUGUUUCCAAUGCAGCAGUCAAGAUCUCCGGUGUCUGGUGUCUAGAUUCAAACUAAAUCUGUUCAAGAUGCCUUGAUCCGGACUCUAUGAGUGCAAAAGCAUCCUUCAAGUUCUGUUCAUCUACUGUUAAAGGAGACUGUAUACUGUACAUAAAAAAAUAACAUUGAAUCAUUGGUUGAAGUUUAUGUAAAAAAUCUAAUGCUUUAUAAAAUAAUUUGUGGCUAUAUUAAAGUUAAUAAAAUAGACCGCUGUUAUCCUCAACCAUCUCCUAUAUUGGUCAAUAAACAGUAAUCCCAUAACCAGUGUUUUUGGGUCAUGCAUUGCAAGUAUAGCAAGCUAUUAAUAUGAUUACUUUUUCAAGAACUGCCAAAGUAAUGCAUUACAUUUAAGUUACAAAAAAAAAAAAAGUAUAUGAGUUAGUUUACUCAUCUCACCUGCACAAAAACAGAUUCAGUAUUCCUCAAAAUGAACAAAAACAGAGAAAAGCAGAAUAUUACACAACUCUGCAAUGAUUAAAUGUCAACACAAAUAUCCUUUAUGUAUUUAAUAAUACAUGUUUUCAUGCUAUUGUUGAUCAAGCAGACUGAUGGUGAUGCACAGAGGAGGACUGUUGAAUAAAAUCAUUAUUUUAUGCUUCAUAAAAUUCAUAAAAGCUUCAUAAAAUUACAGUUGAACCACUGAAGUCACAUGGAUUAUUUUACCAAUGUCCUACGUUUCUGGGUUUGGGAACGUUACAGUUGUGUAAUUGUCUACGCAAAGGUCAGAAAGCUCUCAGAUUUCAUCAAAAAUAUCUUAAUUUAUGUUUUUAAGAUGAACGAGGGUUUUACAGGUUUGUAACGACAUGAGGGCAGUGCUUUAAGUGGGCCGGUACGCACAUGUACUCAGUACCGCCACUACCAAAUAUAGCUCUUGAGCGUACCGCCACCUCUCCGUGCGCCCAGAACGUGCUUUUAGCGUACCGAUACGCUCAUUUGGACAUCUGUUUUAAUAGAGGUUUUAAUCCUUUCCCUUCGCUGCCGCUUUUCAGAGCACCCUUCACAAUGCACGCUUCCUAAUUCUUCCUAGUUCGGAGUAUGGAGCGUGAAGCAUUUGAACCAGUUUGGGAGUUCGGAGCGGGAUAACGAAUCAUUUGAGUCAGUUCGGGAGUUCGGAGCGGGUUCGCGAAUCAUUUGAGUCAGUUUGGGGAUCGCGAAUCAUUUGAAUCAGUUCUGGAGUUCGGAGCGGCUUCGCGGAUCAUUUGAAUCAAUUCGAGAGUUCGGAGCGGGUUCUCGAAUCAUUUAAGUCAGUUUAGGAGUUCGGAGCGGGAUCGCGAUUCAUUUGAGUCAGUUUGGGGAUCGCAAAUCAUUUGAAUCACUUCGGGAGUUCUGAGCGGCAUCGCUGAUCAUUUGAAUCAAUUCGAGAGUUCGGAGCCGGUUCGCGAAUCAUUUGAGUCAGUUUAGGAGUUCGGAGCGGGAUCGCGAUUCAUUUGAGUCAGUUUGGGGAUCGCAAAUCAUUUGAAUCACUUCGGGAGUUCUGAGCGGCAUCGCGGAUCAUUUGAAUCAAUUCGAGAGUUCGGAGCGGGUUCGCGAAUCAUUUGAGUCAGUUUAGGAGUUCGGAGCGGGAUCGCGAUUCAUUUGAGUCAAUUUGAGGAUCGCAAAUCAUUUGAAUCACUUCGGGAGUUCGGAAGGGCUUCGCGGAUCAUUUGAAUCAAUUCGAAAGUUCGGAGCGGGUUCGCGAAACAUUUGAGUCAGUUAGGGGAACGCUAAUCAUUUCAAUCAGUUCAGGAGUUCGUAUCCACAAACUAAUAAAAGGAUUUAUUAUUAAGGUUGCCUGUUUACUGCUGUAUAUAAAACCCCUUCAAUAUAGUUGUUGUUACCUCAGGGGAUGAGGGGAGACAUCAAAAAGGCCACUUAAAGCACUGAGGACACCGGCACCUCUUUUAGGCCACUUAAAGCACUGCAUGAGGGUGAGUUAAUUAAUUACAGAAUAUUCAUUUUUGGGUGAACUUUCCGUUGAAAGCGCAUAUCGCGAAUCAUUUGAUUUAGAUUUGAACAGGUUUGCGAAUCAUUUCUUGAGUCGAGUCAUUUGUGAUGCAUGCUCCAAAAACUCAAUCUGAAAUGAUUGUAUCAUUAUUCAGAUCAGGACUUCGAAGCAACGGAUCGCGAUGCGUUUUAUUCAGAUCAGAGGAUUCGCAAAUCAUUCUGCGUUUUAAAAGAUUCGUGAUAUUUUCUCCGAAGUCCGAUCUGAAAUUCGUGAAUCGUUUUAUUUGGAACUUCGGAGCUCGGAUCGCGAAUCUUUUUUUAUUAUCUUUCUUUUUAAUUUAACUGUACAAAACAUCAAACCAUUAACGCACUACAGUUAUAAAAACUAAACAAUUGGGUAAAAAAUAAGAAAAAAGUGUAGAUGCAAAUAAAACCAUGGUAAAAGUGUAGUAACAAUAUUUUACCACUUGUAUAAGCACAGUAAUACCAUGGUUAAACUAUGUUUUUUGUAGUAAAUCAGUUUAAUAACAGACACUAGGUGCCCUUUGAAUUUCUCUUUGCUUAUUAGUCAGAGCCAGACCAAUCACUGAUGUCCUAUAAAAGCUACAUUUAACUUAAAUAAUGACGUAUUACAUAAAUUAAUUAAACACACACACAAUAACUUAAACUGAACGAUUAGGUAUUUCCCUAUAGAAAAGUGGAUUUAUAUCAGUGUUCUUUUGAUUUUAGGCCUGGCUCACUGCUCAGGUUUCCAACUGGCCAAGCAGCAACAGGAAAGAAGCAUAGAGUGCAGAAAAUGAGACACUGGUGAAGAUUACAAAAUGUCGAGCUUUUUGAUGCACUAUGUAAAAUGGUGAUUUUUAUGUGGGCUUGUGUCCUAUUUGUUGAUGCUGCCCUUACCACUGCAUUUAUUUUUAUCUCCUACACUCACCAGUUUGUGUCUUUCAUUCAUGUGCACCAGAACUGUUGUGUGUAAAUGUAAAUGCAAUCGGUUGUGGAUUCCCUAAUGUGCAUGAGGGACAUUACAAAGGAUGUCUAAAUAUAGCUGGGGAAACUCCCCUGAACACAGUUUAAGAGAGCACUAGAACAGGACAGCUUUUCCUCUGAACACGAUCUUGAAUGUCUACACAUCAAUGGAACAGAUGACACUUUUCUUCAUCAGAAUGGAAAAAGUGUGAGACAGCGCUCUCUGCUGGAGAUAAUGAACUGCACUGAUUCAGAUUUAAUCAACAUUUAAAUUCAGAUUGAAUCACAGGAAUAAUAAAUGACAUUUUUCAAUAUAUAUAUAUAUUUUUUUUUUUGUAAAGAUAUUUCUCCAUUUUACGGUUUUGACUUUUUAAUUGAUUAAAUAAAUAAUAAUUCAAAUAUGCAAUUUUUUCGAAUGCACUAAAGGAAGUGCUGUCAAACAUUUAAUCACGAUUAAUCACAUCCAAAGUUAUUGUAAAAAAUGUACAUAAUAUGUGUGUGUGUGUGUGUGUGUACGUGUACUGUGAAUUAAUACAUACAAAUACACACACAUACAUGUAUAUAUUUUUAAAAUUACAAAUACCAUAAGUACAUAAAUAUACAUAUAUUUUACAUAUAAACAUAAUGAAAUAUAAUCAUGCAUGUGUGUGUAUUUAUAUGCAUAAUAGAUAUACAAAGACACACAUUCUUUUAUCUCAAACUUAAAAUGAUUUAAUAUAGUUUUUUAUUUUUUACUUAUUUUCUCCUUUUAUUAACUAAAAGCAGAUGUUAAAAUGUUUGUUUAAUUUUGGUCCGACAAUAAACUAAUAUAUUUUCUCGUAUGCAUCCAUGCAUUACUUGGAUUAAUAGCUUUACUUUUCUUCUUCUUCUUCUUCUUCUUUUUCUUCUACUUCUUAUUCGUUUUUUAAUUGGGGGCUCGCAAUCACAAAUUGUGCAUUACCGCUUACUGGAUUCAACAUCUCUUUUAACGUUACUUGCUGC